rnacentral:rRNA from 1 species
GAUGAACGCUAGCUACAGGCUUAACACAUGCAAGUCGAGGGGUAACGAGAGGAAAGCUUGCUUUCCUUGUCGACGACCGGCGCACGGGUGAGUAACGCGUAUCCAACCUGCCCCCAACUAGGGAAUAACCUUGCGAAAGUAAGACUAAUACCCUAUAAUUUCCUCAGAUGUCAUCUGACGAGGAAUAAAGAUUUAUCGGUUGUGGAUGGGGAUGCGUCUGAUUAGCUUGUUGGCGGGGUACAGGCCCACCAAGGCAACGAUCAGUAGGGGUUCUGAGAGGAAGGUCCCCCACAUUGGAACUGAGACACGGUCCAAACUCCUACGGGAGGCAGCAGUGAGGAAUAUUGGUCAAUGGGCGGAAGCCUGAACCAGCCAAGUAGCGUGCAGGAUGACGGCCCUAUGGGUUGGAAACUGCUUUUAUACAGGAAUAAAGUUAGCCACGUGUGGUUAUUUGUAGGUACUGUAUGAAUAAGGACCGGCUAAUUCCGUGCCAGCAGCCGCAGUAA